GUGUCAGCAGCCGCGGUAAGACGAACCGUGCGAACGUUGUUCGGAAUCACUGGGCUUAAAGGGCGCGUAGGCGGCUUGCCAAGUCCGGGGUGAAAUCCUGCAGCUUAACUGUAGAAGGGCCUUGGAUACUGGCGAGCUCGAGGGAGGUAGGGGUGCGUGGAACUUCUGGUGGAGCGGUGAAAUGCGUUGAUAUCAGAAGGAACGCCGGGGGCGAAAGCGACGCACUGGAUCUCUUCUGACGCUGAGGCGCGAAAGCUAGGGGAGCAAACGGGAUUAGAUACCCCCGUAGUCC
rnacentral:rRNA from 1 species